rnacentral:lncRNA from 1 species
UCGGGGGAUCACUGGCGAGGCAGGAGGCCUCAGGCGCCAUGAGAUGCCCCACAGUGCGCUCCUGGUCACAUCCCUUCUCCCGGCCUCAGUUUCCUGGGUGUAAAAAGAGGAAUCUGGAAUAACACUCUUUUCUUUUUUAAGGGAGAAGAUGAGAUGGUAUGGUGACUAUGGAAUCUUCCCCAUUUUUAAAAGUUAUUAUUUUUUAAUUGUUUAAAAUGUUUAUUAUUGAGAGAGAGAGAGAGAAAGAGAGAGAGAGCGUAAGCAGGGGAGGGGCAGACAGAGAGGGAGACACAGAAUCCGAAGCAGGCUCCAGGCUCCGAGCUGUCAGCACAGAGCCCGAUGCGGGGCUCGAACCCACGAACCGCGAGAUCCUGACCUGAGCCGAAGUCGGACGCUCAACCAACAGAGCCACCCCGGGUGCCCCUGAAUGAUACGAUUUUGACGGUCGACGACUCACAGAAGAUAGGAGGCAACAGUUGGCAGCAGAAGUGUUAGCCGAGAUACAGAAUGCACAGGCUGGUUCCAGGAGCUAAUGCUCUGUCCUCAGCUGACAUCACCUUAUGGAAACAAAUACGGAGCAAGAAAUACAACAUAGAAAACAGUCCAGAGCGAGCCCUUGCUGAUGGCGGGCCGGCUGCUCGCUGCUGUGUGUUCCUACAGAAUAAAGAACCUGUCAGAGGCAUGCGGCCUCCUCCCCUGCCCAGAGUGUCUGUUUGCUAAACACUGUGAGGCCCCAGUAAGACCCAGAGAGGAGUUUACAGCUCAGACCGGCUCAGAGGCGGCAGCUGUGGGGAGCGUUUCUGGUUGGUUUCCUUCUAUUUGCAGGGAUCGGACUGCCCAUCAGCCAACAGGGCUGUCCCACAUGGUCUCUGAACCUUUGAGCAAACGGAAUCAUCUGGAAAGCGUGACGGGUAAGAACGCUGAGGUGGGAGAGAGAAGCCGCUGGCCUUCAGGCACAGGAACGGCCAGGCAUCCUCUCAGGACCAGUCUCCGCUGCGUCCUUCCACCUCGCAGGUAAACCCCUCCCUGCACGGGCUCUUUCUGGGCGCUCAGGACUGCUGUGGGGCCGCGGCCAAGUCUUGCACACCACACCUGUGUUACACACAUCCACGCACGCUCCUCCGGCUAAGGAGCUGCUUUUGUGCGGGGAGGUGGGAGGAAGGGUCCCCGAGAGCAAACGGAUCCUAGCGGCACCCUGCACGGCCAGGCCGGGCAGCCGCGUGAGGACGGGAGGUUGUGUCCCCUUUGUGUUGAAAGCCUGACCCCCGAGGCGACGGUGUCAGCAGGUGGGCUCUGUGGGAGGUCAUUCGGUCCUGAGGGUGUGGCCCCCAUGAUGGGAUCAGCGUCCUUAUGAAAGAGACCCCGGGGAGGCCCCUCGCCCCUCCCGCAGGUGAAGACACAGCGAGAAGACAUCUGGGGACCCGGAAGUGGGGUCUCACCACACACCAAAUGUACAAGUGCCUUGAACUUGGACGUCCGGCCUCCAGAACUGCGGGGAAUGAAUGUCUGUGGUUGAUAAGCUGCCCGGUCUGUGGUGUUUUUUACAGCCACUGGGAGGGACAGAGAGAAAAUUUUAAGGCCUUACUGACACAAUCUUAAUUAACGAUGGUUUGAGGUCCUCGAGGGGUUCCACAGGAGAGCACGGUGGGUCCCCGCACCCCUGAAUCUUGUGUUUGAUUUGGAAUGAGGGGAAAACCUCACAGUCACUUCUGAAGCUUGUGGUUUCUCAUCCUUAGCAGUAAGUGGAGACUCUAAAAAGCACAGUAAUAACUCAUCCCGAGAAUCUCUUCUCAGAAGUUAGGCAACAAAAUGGUGUCCCAUUCCAGGAGGCCUUCCCUGUCCCCACCCGGGCCUGGCACCAGGUCAGGCCUCCUGCAGCCCGCGUGGUGUGCUUAAAACAGCAAA